CCUACGGGCGGCUGCAGUGGGGAAUAUUGCACAAUGGGCGCAAGCCUGAUGCGGCCAUGCCGCGUGUGUGAAGAAGGCCUUCGGGUUGUAAAGCACUUUCAGCGGGGAGGAAGGCGGUGAGGUUAAUAACCUCAUCGAUUGACGUCACCCGCAGAAGAGGCACCGGCUAACUCCGUGCCAGCAGCCGCGGUAAUACGGAGGGUGCAAGCGUUAAUCGGAAUUACUGGGCGUAAAGCGCACGCAGGCGGUCUGUCAAGUCGGAUGUGAAAUCCCCGGGCUCAACCUGGGAACUGCAUUCGAAACUGGCAGGCUAGAGUCUUGUAGAGGGGGGUAGAAUUCCAGGUGUAGCGGUGAAAUGCGUAGAGAUCUGGAGGAGUACCGGUGGCGAAGGCGGCCCCCUGGACAAAGACUGACGCUCAGGUGCGAAAGCGUGGGGAGCAAACAGGAUUAGAUACCCCAGUAGUC
rnacentral:rRNA from 1 species